rnacentral:rRNA from 1 species
UGCCGGUGUUAAACCGGGAGGAAGGUGGGGAUGACGUCAAGUCCUCAUGGCCUUUAUGCCCAGGGCUACACACGUGCUACAAUGGGUGGUACAAAGAGCAGCCAGCUCGCGAGAGUGAGCAAAUCUCAAAAAGCCAUCCUCAGUUCGGAUUGAAGUCUGCAACUCGACUUCAUGAAGUUGGAAUCGCUAGUAAUCGCGGAUCAGCAUGCCGCGGUGAAUUACCGGUUCCCGGGCCUU